rnacentral:rRNA from 1 species
UACGUAGGUGGCAAGCGUUGUCCGGAUUUAUUGGGGUUAAAGGGUGCGUAGGCGGCCUUGUAAGUCAGUGGUGAAAUACUCCAGCUUAACUGGAGGGGUGCCAAUGAUACUGCAGGGCUUGAGUACAGAUGAGGUAGGCGGAAUUGACGGUGUAGCGGUGAAAUGCAUAGAUAUCGUCAAGAACACCUAUAGCGAAGGCAGCUUACUGGGCUGUAACUGACGCUGAGGCACGAAAGUGUGGGGAUCAAACAGG